GCGCACGUGGCGGAAUUGGUAGACGCGCUAGCUUGAGGGGUUAGUGAUCAUUAGGUCGUGGAAGUUCGAAUCUUCUCGUGCGCA
rnacentral:tRNA from 1 species